GCUACCAUGCAGUCGAGGGGUAGAGGCUUUCGGGCCUUGAGACCGGCGCACGGGUGCGUAACGCGUAUGCAAUCUGCCUUGUACAAAGGGAUAGCCCAGAGAAAUUUGGAUUAAUACCUUAUAGUAUAUAAUUAGGACAUCCUUAUUAUAUUAAAGAUUUAUCGGUACAAGAUGAGCAUGCGUCCCAUUAGCUAGUUGGUGUGGUAACGGCAUACCAAGGCAAUGAUGGGUAGGGGUCCUGAGAGGGAGAUCCCCCACACUGGUACUGAGACACGGACCAGAUUCCUACGGGAGGCAGCAGUGAGGAAUAUUGGACAAUGGGCGCAAGCCUGAUCCAGCCAUGCCGCGUGCAGGAUGACGGUCCUAUGGAUUGUAAACUGCUUUUAUACGGGAAGAAACCCUGGCUCGUGAGCCAGAUUGACGGUACCGUAGGAAUAAGGAUCGGCUAACUCCGUGCCAGCAGCCGCGGUAAUACGGAGGAUCCAAGCGUUAUCCGGAAUCAUUGGGUUUAAAGGGUCCGUAGGCGGUUUUAUAAGUCAGUGGUGAAAUCCGGUAGCUCAACUAUCGAACUGCCAUUGAUACUGUAGAACUUGAAUUAUUGUGAAGUAACUAGAAUAUGUAGUGUAGCGGUGAAAUGCUUAGAUAUUACAUGGAAUACCAAUUGCGAAGGCAGGUUACUAACAAUACAUUGACGCUGAUGGACGAAAGCGUGGGGAGCGAACAGGAUUAGAUACCCUGGUAGUCCACGCCGUAUACGAUGGAUACUAGCUGUUUGGUAGCAAUACUGAGUGGCU
rnacentral:rRNA from 1 species